UGUUUUUCCUCCAGGUAAGGAUACAACCGGAAGCUAGCAGUCAGCAGGCUGGAAAACAGCCCUCGCCAGAACCCAACCCUUGGACUUCAGCCUUCAGAGCUGGCCUUGCUGUACCUUGUUGUAGUGUUUGAAAACAUCUGAGGCUGCGUCCAUCUCCAGUACUCCAUAAAGCAACAGCUUACAGAACCCGGCCAAGAGGCGGCGCCGCUGGUGUAGGCGCUCUAUCUGUAAAUGAUCCUCCUGGGAAUUACCUGGUUCACAUGGAAGGCAGAAGAAAAUCACAGACUUAGGUCUCCUGCCCUGUAUUCCAGAACCACACCCAAGCCCCAGCCCUUACUGAGCCCCAGGUAUAGAGUCACUGCACCACUGCCCAAGUCUCCUGGCUGAAUGAAGACAUGGUCCAUGAGGAAGCUGGCUAGCUCAGACUGGAGGGUAGCUUCAGGAAAAAAGACAAGUGGCCUAAGGAAAUCACGGCCCCCGACAAUCAUCUGAGGGCUAAAGAUGAGAAGCAGAUCACUUAAUAAGACAAAAGCCUGUAGGGAUAAAAGAAAGGAUGCUUAAAAGACAGAAUGUUUCCCAAGGUAGAAAAGACACUGUCAAUUUCUCCUUGGAAUGGGGACAGAAGCACUCGCCUUCUUGCUCCCACUUGAGUCAAUGCUCACCUGCUCCCGGAUCUCAGUAUCCACAUCUGAGAGGCAACUCUGGCAGAGUUCACAGAAGGCCACCAUUCUUUCCCUCAAACUCGACAGCUGCUUCUGUGGGCACAGUGACUUGAGGGGGAAGAAUGAAGACAUAGGCUCCUCUGUUCCCAUUUCCCCUUCUAAGACCCACACUCACCUGGGAAGCAUCUGAUUUAGAAAUGUGGGUUAGUGUCCACAGAAUGGAAAAAUAGACAAGAGUCAAGGCUGGCAGGAUAACCUGUAACAACAAAGUGUUUGAAAAAUGAGGUUUGGGUCAGGAGGGGGAGAGACAGAUAGGCAGACACAGCAGUGAAGAGGAGAGAAAAUGAGUAAGGGGAGACCCAAUUCCUUCUGGUGGAAAAUGAAUGAUAUUCUGGACAAUCUUCAGAGGCUUCUAUAUGAGGUAGAAAUGUCUCUACUCCCUAAUUUACUCUAUGUCUCCUAGAAUCCCUCAAUGUUAUCUUCGGCUUCCAGGAAAUCCAAGAAGAUAGUUGUGUUUAGACAAUGGAAGUAGAGUCUACCCUCUAAGAGAGGAAUGUAAGGGAUGACCCCCACCUGAUCUUCCUCACUUUGUCCACUCCACACCCUGGGUCUUGACCCACCUGGUGGCCACCUGGGACAUAGGUCCUUAAAAACUAGUUCCCCAGCCCCCAACCCAUCUCCAGCCUUCUGCAGGUUCUUCAUUCACCUGGUGAGGAACCUCUCCUGUGUCCACAGCCUUCUGCAGCAGUUGGCAACAUGGCUCAUAGAGCUCCCAGCGAGUCAGGUCAUGAGCGCUUUGUGGGAGAGAGGGGAACGUUAUACUGGAAAAAGAACAGAGUGAACCAACUCCACAGACACCAGUAAAAAUGGGAUGGGGAAGACAAGGAAAGCCACUCACUUGUAGAAGGCAGAAAGGCGUUUCAGAGUGGUUGCCAGGUUAUAUACCUCAUCCUCAUCUAGGAAGGAUGACUGAGGAAGAAAGAAGAUCCACAAUAGCAUUUCUCCCAGAACUCAUCUGUCCACGUCCCCUAUCUUGCAGCCCCUCCCACCCUUGUUUGGGGUGUCCCAUUGUCUAGCCCCAGCUCCUACCUGCGGCAGCUCUUCAAGCUCCUGCUGGAAGCGGUCAGUUAGUAGAUCUACUAGUUGGCUGCGGGCAAAGUCCGCCCGGCUGAAGAAAGUGAAUUCGGGAUUACAGAGCAAGUAGAGGGCAUGUGCCCCAGCCUCAAGCACUGCUGGCUCUGUGUGCUUCACCACCACCUCCUGGAGUUGCUUCAGGAGCAGCUCCAGGUGCUGAGAAGAAAAGGCAGAAGAUGGUGUGCUGUGGGGGUGGGAGGAGGAAAACUCUUCUGGAGGGAAGUGAAAUGGGGUUAAAAGCAUUAAACUUCAAGGAUAAGAUGCCUAA